rnacentral:lncRNA from 1 species
GUAGUGUGUUGGUUCCAGCAGGCGCCAGCUGAAAAAUGAGAGAGUUCCUUAUUUAUUUUCUUUUUUUAUAUUUCUUAUUGUUGUUUUCUUUUCUUUCUUGCAACGUUUUGAGAGAGAAAUUCCCGGCGAGAGGUAGUUGGUUAGUGGUCCCUUUUAUUUUCUUCUCCCUCUCCUACCGUUUUUUGAGUAUGGAGAGAUAUAUGGAGUGCUAGCUGUCAU